rnacentral:lncRNA from 1 species
UUCCCGGUUCAUGCCAACUCGAUAGCUUGCGUGAUGGUGCGAUGUCGUGUUCUCUCGCGUUCCUCUUCUCCCUUUCUCUCGCAACCAGGGUUGAAACCCCAUUUUUACCCUUGCCGAAGUUAAUUUUAAAUUGAUGGAGGAAGACGGCUAUGCUAUGGUUUACAUGCCACUACCCCGAAUUUGAAUCGGGUGGCUCACGACGGCUCCCUUCGAUGGGUUAUGGUGAUUCCGAAUCGGGUAAUCCUUGUUUUAGUACUUUUUGUCAAUUCACUACUUUCUAUUGAUUCUCGGUACCUAUUUUUUAUGAACUCGUGCAAUUUCUAUUGGCCUUUAUAGAGUGAUGAUCCGAAGUCAUUAAUGGUUGAGCCAGACCCGAUUAAGGCAUACCUAAGACAUACGCCAUGUCGACUAAGUCGAGGCAUAUCCCCUAGCGGUCAUUCACAACAGAUCAGAGGAGAGGUAAUCAUUCUCCUUAUUUACAAUGAAUCCUUACCCGUUGUAUAAACUUCAUUAAGGUUCCAUAUUAAUAGUGACAAAGGAAUAAAAAAUUUACUACUGAAAUCGGGUGAUUACAUGUAACUAAUUUCAGCGAACAUUUGUUCGGAGAUGAAUUGUAUUAUCCUGUUAUGCCAUCUAUCUCAUCCUAUGGGUAUAUAUCCCUGUUGAGUUCGAAUGAAUAUGAGGAUAUUUUUUUCAAUUUGAUAUGUUAGUCAUUUUUCAGCAAAGCUUUUAUUUCAUGAUUAUCAACUUAUAUGGCCGGGAUACAAAAAACGAAAUUAAUAAAACUUAUUAAAGAGAAUGAUUAACCUCUAACGUAGAAUGUUUUCUGUGUUGGCCCUGCCUCUCUUUCUCUGAGCCCCCUCUUUGACGUAUGUGGUGGUCUAUGAAUAUUUAUAUGCCUCUGCUAUGUUGUUAUCUGUGAUGGGUAAGAUAUGCAAUUUAUGGAUGUUUCCUCCUUCUCUGUGUUGUGAAGCGUUAUGUGUUAAUAUAUAUGCUUUGUAUCCGGUGUUUUUUCUUUUGUGCAUGUGUGUACUUAUAUAGCCUUCUGGCGCACUAUAUGAGCCUCUUGAAUUGCCGAAACUGUUACCUAAUGAUUGACUCCUAGGCUGCCCAUUGUGAGCCAUAAAUGGAUUGUUUAUUUUGAUUUAUUCUGGCUAUCAUUGCUAAUUGAUGCUGAUUAAGUACAUGUAACUGCCGAUAGAUUCUUUUAGUUUACCUAAACUUUAUGAUUGUCGGUUGGAAUACAUAACUGAAACAAAGAAUAUUUGCUAUGAUUACUAGGAAGUGGCUGCGAGGAGUUGAUAAUCUGGUGAAGAUUAGCAUCCAUGAGUUCAUAGACCAAGUGGAUAUCCUUAAAACUCGUUCUCUAGAUAGGCAUCAUAACAUCCUUUAGAUCGAUCACGUUCUCACGCUGAAUAUCCCUAAGCAGCUUCAGCUCCCUCAAUGUUCUCUAUGCAUCAAUACAAUUCUCAAAUAUAUUACCAAUCUUCUUAAUUGCAACUUUCUCAUCAGUCUCCCUAUUGAUGGAAGAGCACACCGCACCGUAUGAUCCUUGGCCGAUUGGCUUGAUUGGAACAUGCUUGGUAUCAACAUUGUCUGCCAUAUUAUGUAAUAAUGCUUACCCUUCGGCUUAAUUCUGCUGGGAGGCUCUGUUAGGUAUGAGUGGCUAAAAUACACCUACGAGGGGGGUUUAAUAGGUGUAGCGGUCAGAGUAUCCGCUUUUCGCAAACAACAAAUAAUGCUGAAAU